rnacentral:rRNA from 1 species
GAUGAACGCUGGCGGCAUGCCUAAUACAUGCAAGUCGAACGAACAGACGAGGAACUUUCUCCUUUGACGUUAGCGUCGGACGGGUGAGUAAAACGUGGGUAACCCACCUAUAAGACUGGGAUUACUUACUGAAACCGGAGCCAAUACCCGAUAAUAGUCUCAACCCCAAGGUUGAAGAGUUAAAGACCGUUUUGCUUUCACUGAUCGAAGGAUCCGCACCGCAUUAGCUAGUUGGUCAGGUAACGGCUUACCAAGGCAACGAUGCGUAGCCGACCUGAGAGGGUGACCAGCCACACUGGAACUGAGACACGGUCCAGACUCCUACGGGAGGCAGCAGUGGGGAAUCUUGCGCAAUGGGCGAAAGCCUGACGGAGCCACGCCGCGUGAAUGAUGAAGGUCUUCGGAUCGUAAAAUUCUUUCAUCAGGGAAGAACAAAUGUAUAAGUACCUAUGCACUUCUUGACGUUACCUACAGAAGAAGCCACGGCUAACUACGUG